rnacentral:rRNA from 1 species
CCUACGGGGGGCUGCAGUGGGGAAUAUUGCACAAUGGGCGCAAGCCUGAUGCAGCCAUGCCGCGUGUGUGAAGAAGGCCUUCGGGUUGUAAAGCACUUUCAGCGGGGAGGAAGGCGUUAAGGUUAAUAACCUUGUCGAUUGACGUUACCCGCAGAAGAAGCACCGGCUAACUCCGUGCCAGCAGCCGCGGUAAUACGGAGGGUGCAAGCGUUAAUCGGAAUUACUGGGCGUAAAGCGCACGCAGGCGGUCUGUCAAGUCGGAUGUGAAAUCCCCGGGCUCAACCUGGGAGCUGCAUUCGAAACUGGCAGGCUAGAGUCUUGUAGAGGGGGGUAGAAUUCCAGGUGUAGCGGUGAAAUGCGUAGAGAUCUGGAGGAAUACCGGUGGCGAAGGCGGCCCCCUGGACAAAGACUGACGCUCAGGUGCGAAAGCGUGGGGAGCAAACAGGAUUAGAUACCCCUGUAGUC